UACGUAGGGGGCUAGCGUUGUCCGGAUUUAUUGGGCGUAAAGAGCGUGUAGGCGGCCAGGUAGGUCUGCUGUGAAAACUCGAGGCUCAACCUCGAGCUGUCGGCGGAAACCAUCUGGCUAGAGUCCGGAAGAGGAGAGUGGAAUUCCUAGUGUAGCGGUGAAAUGCGCAGAUAUCAGGAAGAACACCCGUGGCGAAGGCGGCUCUCUGGGACGGUACUGACGCUGAGACGCGAAAGCGUGGGGAGCGAACAGG
rnacentral:rRNA from 1 species